UCGUGGUGUAGCAAGGAAAGGGAGAGGAUACGCCUGUUAGACUUCCUGGCCAAACCUUACUCAGUGAUUGUCAUAUCCUCGUUAAAACAUGGCCAUUAGUGUCAUUAAUCGCGUUGGGUAUUGCAAUUUAUCUUUAACACCGCGGAGUAGCUGUAGAGGGCCCAGCGCCCCCCCCUACUUAGGCCUCCCAUAUAUAGACCUAUGCGGUUUCCCCGUGACCUGUGUGCCGAUUUUGUUGACCAGCAGGGCGUGCAGUGCUUCUGAGAGCCCCCGCCCCAGCCCCGAGACCUGCAGGGUGACCCACUGGACUUGAGCGAGGGGCCUAAGACUACCCACAUGCUGUCCUGAAGACCACCCAGCAACCCGGACUCUAGAGGAAACCGCCCAAGUCCUGGUGGCACUCGACCCAAGCUACUGGUACUGCCGGAACCCCCUGGCUGGCGGAUGAGAUCUUCCUGACGGAUGUGACGGCCAACUUCCUGACUGUGAGGAUCGGGGAGUGCAAGAAGCGGCCAGAGGUUUUCAAGGACACGACCGACCCAAACCAGAAUUCCCAGUGCUCGAUUGUGUGAUGUGUUGUGAUUGUGAAUAUGUCUUGACUUUGCUGGUGAAGGUUUCCAUGGCAAAUAGGAUCAUACUGAAAAGGUAUUAGCCGGGGGUCUUCAAGGACACGACCGACCCAAACCAGAAAUCCUAGUACUCAAUUAUGUGGUUAUUGUGAAUAUGUCUUGACUUUGCUGGUGAAGGUUUCCAUGGUGAACAGGAUCAUACUGAAAGGAUAUUAGCAUGGAAAGAUAUUGUUGUGCUGUGUUCGUGGGAGUCCCGUAAACAAACAUGUGGGUACAGCUAUUACUGGACGCAAAAUGUUAUUGUAAAGCCUGCUGGAUACAUUUGACAAGCAUAGAAAACCACCUAAAAAUUAUAAGUUAAAACUCUGUCAUCACUUGCAGAAUUGGAAGUCCAAACAAUCUAAACUGAUACUUCAAAGGAAGCCCACAGCCUUAGGAUUACUUUAGGCAUUUGGGUUUGAGUCUUGGUGCAAAGCCAGAUUUUUAAGAAAUUUAUUCAUAAAAUUGUGCGGGCCGUGAACACCUCGUGUGUGACCCCCUGCUGCUCACAAGCCGUACACCAAUUAACCGUGUAGCAGCGACGGGACAAAUUUGUGGCUUAACCGUGGAGCAGCGACGAGCCAAACUUGUGCCAUGAUUUAAACCCAAAAAAAUAGAUGAUACUUAAACUGAUCACAAAUGUUUUGAUAUAUAUUAUGAAAUGGUUUGUGUGAGGGGUGAUUUUUUCUCAUUUUUCUCGCUUAGAGGGACCAUUAAGAAACAUGAUCCCCGCUGCUACCAGGUUGAAAAAAACAAAACUUCCUAUGGAGAAAAAAUAUUCUCUGGGGAAGCUCAAGAGAUAGAGGAAGGCCAUUUCCUGAGGAGUAUUUGCACUCUUUGUUUUGCUUGUUAGGGCAAACACAGAUUUUUAAUUAGUAUUUUCCCACCAGUAGUACUAUGGGUUGUCCACCUCACCCUACAAUGGAAACAAUAUAACAUUUUAAAAACCAUUCUAUUCCACCUUCUGUAUAAAAAGAGAUGUUAUAUGUUUUUUCCUGUUUUAGUCAUGGAAUUUACCAUUGUGCAGAAUAUUGUUGUACACUUGGAGAGACUUAGAGGGUCACUACAUACACACUUGGGCACAUACACAGGAGGAGGCUUUUCAAACAGGCAAAUGUUGGUGCCCAGAUGUUUAAAAAUGCUGCUUGGAAGUCUGGAAGAGUGGCUGGAAUCUGCGACGUCUUUGCUGAUGGGGUCUUCGUGGUGCAGUGGUUAGCACACUCGGCUCACAACCAAGAGAGCACGGGGUCGAUUCCCAGGCGGAGUGGAAAAAUUUGGGCGGCUUUUCCGAUACCCUACGCCCCUGUCCACCCAGCAGUGAAUGGGUACCAGGUAUUAAUCGGGGGUUGUGUCCCGUCUCCUGGGGUUUGUUCCCUUCUAUAAUUCCUUCCCAUUCUGUCUCUCUCCGGCACAUGACCACAGAUGUUGCGCCCACUAAACAAAACUUUCCAACUUUUUCUCUGGUGAUUCUCUGUACAGGCAGUGGUUCGGAAGGUGUACUAGACUGCCUCCAGCUGACUGUUUGAGGCUCUACCAUGUCUUCUGGUCAUGGUUUUAGGGUUUCCGCCGUCCAUAAGCUUAAGAAAUCUUGUGUACUGUAUUUCCAAGCUUCUGAAAAUGGACCCAAAAUAUCAUACUGAGUGCCUCUCUAAUGUUCAUCUCUAUGUAUAGGGAAGGGAGUUGUAUCAUAGCCUGUUAAGAAUAUUAAGGUGUCUAUUGUGUAUUUCCAGGCCUCUGAAAAUGGACCCAAAAUGUCAGAAUGAGUGCAUGUUGUAGCUCUAAUGUUUAUCGCUAUGUAUAGGGAAGGGAGUUGUACUCACAGAGUUAUAUACAUAGAGGGUUCCCAGAGCCUGGAUUUUGAAGCAACUGGCGGCCAUCUUAGGGUGACGAAUGGCGAGACAGAGAGAAAUUUACUUUCACAUAGUUAUGUCUGCUAUUAUCAGGUCAGCAGUGCCUCAGCGACCCUCUGUCAGAUAGACUUGUUAUUUUCUUGUCCAUUUUCUACCCACUGACUAUUGUUACAUUGGUACAUGUCAUAUACCAUCUGCAUCGGAAAAACAUGCUCAAUUUGAAACUGUAAACGGAAAUCUAAUACAAUAAAAAGUUCCUGAAUGACAAGUAAUUGAGGCAAAAAAGAUGAACAAAAAUGUUUAUACACUACCAUAAUGAUAUGCAGCAAUGUCUCAUGAACACGAUGAUCGGCUCAGUUUUCCAAAAUAUCAUAAUGGUGGCUUGCUAAUAGUGGUUAAGUGUAUACAUGUGGAACAACGGAAAGGUCGCCAAUCUGUCACCCUAUGGCAGCCGACCACAGGCAGGAGCAGUGGCUUCACCUCUCACCGUGGCGAGAGAUUGGAGUUGAACCCUCUAGUCUAUAACUCUGUGGUUGUACCAUAUCCUGUUAAGAGUAUUAAGGAGUCUGUUGUGUAUUUCCAGGCCUUGGAAACUGUGACAAUGGACUGAAAACAACAUUGGAAUUAGUGAAAGAUAUACCCCUGAUGUCCUGUUCCUGUUCUUCUCUUGUAUAGAGAGAGAGGAGAGAAAGAACAGACAUAGUUAGUGAAGGGCUGGAUCCUUUGUUUAACCUUUCUUAUGCCUGUCUAGUGAAAAAUAAUAAUAAUAAUAAUAAUAAUAAUAAUAAUAAUAAUAAUAAGAGGAAGAGAUGAUGUUAUGAGCUAUUGUGUUCUUAAGGGCUGAUUAAACUUUGCUGGUAUUGGAA